UUUAACCUUACUCAGGUUACUUGAUAAUAUCUGUGCUUCUUUGUUGAUAAAAUAGGGAAAAUAGCUGAUUUAACUAUGUUAUGAGACUUAAAAAUAGCCAGUAAUUAUUGACCACUUACAAUGUGGCAGGUGUUAUGUUCUAAAAUGCUUUACCUAUACUAACUCAUUAGAUUCUUACAACAUUAGGUGAUACUAUUUUCAUCCUUAUUUUACACUGGAGGAAACUAAGGCACUAAGAUAGUAAACAUCUUGAUCAUAAGUAUCGCCACACAAAUGGCUGGCCAACAGUGAACAUCCAAGCACUAUUCCCUACUGCUUACUUCAUUCAAGUCUAUGAAAAUGCUUUCAAACCAAAACUAAACAAAUACAUGGAAAAUAAAUAAAUAUAAAAAGAAAUGAAUGUCCACUCUGAGAAAAUGGGAAAAACUUAGCUGACUUCUGACAUUUCUCCAAUGUUCUGCAUUCUGGUAUGUGGGGAUAAUCAACAUAAACUCUGUAAAUUGUAAUUUCCUGUUACACCUUCCAGUUUCUGCAUUCUAAAAGAACACAAAUCUGUGUUUUUAAAGGCUGCUUAAAUAUCUGUACUUUUGGAUCAGAAGCAUCAUCUCUCGUGAAUGUUUUUCUUCAUAAUACUGAGAAAGACAGAUGGGAAUUUGUGCCUUCUCUCCACUGAAAGCAACAGGGAGAAAGUCUUGGAGCUGGGAACCCUUCCUGAUUGUUUACUCUGCCUGGCUACCUGCCCAUAGCAGCUUCUUGGAUCUCUCCCUGAGAGCCCCCAUGACAGCUAUUCUGAAGGUCAGGUCUGUGCUCCACACAUCUGUCACUAUAUUUCUUGUGAUUUGCAGGCAGAAGACUGGUAGAAUUGACCUGGGUUAUUGAUAAAUAUUGAUAGUUGUGUGUGAAAACGUACUAGGGCAUAUGAGCUAGUUCUGAUGUAGGAGGAAUUUCUGUUCUCUUGACUCACCCCUCUCUUGCUCUUUGCUUUUCAGUUAUUUGCAUGCUUGUUAACACACAUCCUGUAGGACAAGCAAGGACAAGAAGAGACAUGCAAACUUAAAUGAAACCAUUCAGGUACAGUUGUAAAGGCUGAACAGCCUGAGUGUACACAGCCUGAGUGAGGCCUGCAUGUGAAAUAUUCACUCUUACCACUCCAGAGAACUUCCCUAUGACCCUGUAUUGUUUUACCUCCAUCUUGUUCAGUGCUCAUAUACCUCUUCUCAUCAUACUAGGACAUAGAGUUUCAAAGAAUGAAACCUGAGAGAUCAUGAAAAUUAUCAGUAGGAAGACUGGAGUUCCAAAGGUCGAAAUGAAAUUGCCAGAUAGGAGGAAUAUGUUCAUUGUAGCCUGUGUUGCCUGUACUUUUGUGGGUGUUUCAUCUAAGGAAUUAUUGCCAUGAUCAAUGUCAAUGAGCAUUUUUUCUGUUUUCUUCAAGGAGUUUUAUUACAUUUUCAGGUGUUAUAUUUAAGUCUUUAUUCUGAGUUAAUUUUUGUGAGUGGUUUAAGAUAAGGAUCAGGUCCCCAGUCUUAAAAAUUAUUAAAAUUCCUGCAGAUCUUUUGUUAAUAUGGGUUAUAUACUAAUAUUUCCAUAUUAUAAAUUGAAACACACUUUAAAAUCUUAA